UACGUAGGUGGCAAGCGUUGUCCGGAUUUACUGGGCGUAAAGGGCGUGCAGGCGGUCUGUUAAGUCUAGGGUGAAAGCUCCCGGCUCAACUGGGAGAGGUCCUUGGAUACUGGCGGACUCGAGGUAGGUAGAGGAAAGUGGAAUUCCUGGUGUAGCGGUGAAAUGCGCAGAUAUCAGGAGGAACACCGGUGGCGAAGGCGGGACUCUGGGCCGAUACUGACGCUGAGGAGCGAAAGCGUGGGGAGCGAACAGG
rnacentral:rRNA from 1 species